UCCCCCGUGGUCUACCGGUAUUAGGACGUUGAUCUUUCCAAUCAAAGGACUCAGUUCAAUUCUGAGCGGGGGAA